rnacentral:rRNA from 1 species
UACGUAGGGAGCAAGCGUUGUCCGGAAUCAUUGGGCGUAAAGCGCGCGUAGGCGGCCCCGUAAGUCCGUUGUGAAAGUCAAAGGCUCAACCUUUGAAAGCCGAUGGAUACUGUGGGGCUAGAGUCCGGAAGAGGCGAGUGGAAUUCCUGGUGUAGCGGUGGAAUGCGCCAGAUAUCAGGAGGAACACCAAUAGCGAAGGCAGCUCGCUGGGACAGUACUGACGCUAAGGCGCGAAAGCGUGGGAGC